UACAGAGGGUGCGAGCGUUGUCCGGAUUUACUGGGCGUAAAGGGCGCGUAGGCGGUCAGCCAAAGCCAGUUGUGAAAUCUCCGGGCUUAACUCGGAAAGGUCAACUGAUACUGUGCGACUAGAGUGCGGAAGGGGCAACUGGAAUUCCCAGUGUAGCGGUGAAAUGCGUAGAUAUUGGGAGGAACACCAGUGGCGAAGGCGGCUCACUGGACCGGUACUGACGCUGAUGCGCGAAAGCGUGGGGAGCAAACGGG
rnacentral:rRNA from 1 species